UUUUUUGUUUUGUGUUCAUGUGUCUUUUACUCUUCCAUGUGUUGAUACUUGAAGUAUAUGAUAUAUAUUGUAUUGAUAUUUCAAAUAUAGAGAAUCAGUGGAACUGUCCCACAGUGUACACAUGAAAACGAUGAUGAUCAAUUUCCUGAACGAACUGUUGUAUAUGGUGCAAGCACAAAAGGAAGUUGUUCAUCUACCCCUACCGAUAAUGAGAUCUACAAUGAGUUAUUGGCUCCUUUUGAACAAUUAUAUACUAAAAUGUUA
rnacentral:lncRNA from 1 species